rnacentral:rRNA from 1 species
GACGAACGCUGGCGGCGUGCUUAACACAUGCAAGUCGAACGGAAAGGCCCUGCUUUUGUGGGGUGCUCGAGUGGCGAACGGGUGAGUAACACGUGAGUAACCUGCCCUUGACUUUGGGAUAACUUCAGGAAACUGGGGCUAAUACCGGAUAGGAGCUCCUGCUGCAUGGUGGGGGUUGGAAAGUUUCGGCGGUUGGGGAUGGACUCGCGGCUUAUCAGCUUGUUGGUGGGGUAGUGGCUUACCAAGGCUUUGACGGGUAGCCGGCCUGAGAGGGUGACCGGCCACAUUGGGACUGAGAUACCGCCCAGACUCCUACGGGAGGCAGCAGUGGGGAAUAUUGCACAAUGGGCGGCAGCCUGAUGCAGCAACGCCGCGUGCGGGAUGACGGCCUUCGGGUUGUAAACCGCUUUCGCCUGUGACGAAGCGUGAGUGACGGUAAUGGGUAAAGAAGCACCGGCUAACUACGUG